rnacentral:rRNA from 1 species
GAUGAACGCUGGCGGCGUGCUUAACACAUGCAAGUCGAACGAUGAAGCCCAGCUUGCUGGGUGGAUUAGUGGCGAACGGGUGAGUAACACGUGAGUAACCUGCCCUUAACUCUGGGAUAAGCCUGGGAAACUGGGUCUAAUACCGGAUAGGAGCGUCUACCGCAUGGUGGGUGUUGGAAAGAUUUAUCGGUUUUGGAUGGACUCGCGGCCUAUCAGCUUGUUGGUGAGGUAAUGGCUCACCAAGGCGACGACGGGUAGCCGGCCUGAGAGGGUGACCGGCCACACUGGGACUGAGACACGGCCCAGACUCCUACGGGAGGCAGCAGUGGGGAAUAUUGCACAAUGGGCGCAAGCCUGAUGCAGCGACGCCGCGUGAGGGAUGACGGCCUUCGGGUUGUAAACCUCUUUCAGUAGGGAAGAAGCGAAAGUGACGGUACCUGCAGAAGAAGCACCGGCUAACUACGUG